GGGUUGGUGCCCAAGCGAUCAAAGGGGAUAUACUGUAAAUUUGUUGAUGAUAUUUCAUACUGGUUGAAAUCCAGCCUGGCCCU
rnacentral:tRNA from 1 species